rnacentral:rRNA from 1 species
UUGUAAUUUGCAGAGGAUGCUUCUGGCGCGGUGCCUUCCGAGUUCCCUGGAACGGGACGCCACAGAGGGUGAGAGCCCCGUAUGGUCGGACACCAAGCCUGUGUGAAGCUCCUUCGACGAGUCGAGUAGUUUGGGAAUGCUGCUCUAAAUGGGAGGUAAAUCUCUUCUAAAGCUAAAUACCGGCCAGAGACCGAUAGCGCACAAGUAGAGUGAUCGAAAGAUGAAAAGCACCUUGAAAAGGGGGUUAAAUAGUACGUGAAAUUGUUGAAAGGGAAGCACUUGUGACCAGACUUGGGCCGGGCGGCUCAUCAGGGGUUCUCCCCUGUGCACUCCGCCCGGCACAGGCCAGCAUCGGUUCUCGUGGGGGGAUAAGACCGUCAGGAACGUAGCACCCUCCGGGGUGUGUUAUAGCCUGGCGGACGAUACCCCCGCGGGGACCGAGGUUCGCGCUCCGCAAGGAUGCUGGCGUAAUGGUCACCAGUGACCCGUCUUG